AUGGACAAGAGUUGGAUGGAUAAAGCUAGAAAUACACAAGCAUAUAUUGACGGGGGCAAGCUCAAGGGCGAUGUAUCUCAUAGCCAUACACAACCAUUUGGAAGUGGAGAAGUCCAUGGCAAAAGCAGUAAUGCGACCACAAGCAAGCUGAGGAGCAGGCAGUGUUGUGUCGACUACGUCUGGAUAGCAACUCAUCUCCAUCCUCGCCCCAAGCAGUGUCGCCUCACCUCUACUUCCUCGCCUAAGCGGUACCGCCUAUGGUCUCCGCUUCACCGCCAAUGGAGCAUGGUAGCCCAGUGGCAAAAGCUUCUAUGUAUGCAGUUGGAAGUGGAUAAGUGUCAGGCUCUUCCUACAGGAUGUCUACUAGUUCAGUUCUAG
rnacentral:rRNA from 1 species